GGAGGCGUAGCUCAGUUGGUCAGAGCGUUCGGUUCACAUCCGAGAGGUCAAGGGUUCGAGCCCCCUCGUCUCCACCA
rnacentral:tRNA from 1 species